UCCUAAAUACUUGUUGUUGGG
rnacentral:miRNA from 1 species